rnacentral:lncRNA from 1 species
CCCAACUGCUAUAGGAAAGAUCAAGGGGGAUCAUUUUCCAUUACAUUUUACUAAUUUAAUGACAAUAGGCAGAAUUCAUAAGCUUGCCCCAAUUGUUGUUUUCUUCUUCACAUACUUCCAUCUUUGUUUAUGAUUUUGCUGUUGUUCUCUACUUGAUCAUUAGAUUGGGCCAGUCCAGGUGGGAAAAACUAUAAGAUGGACUCUACUUAUAUUUUGAAGAACCAACACAAGAUGCUUGACCAUCUCUCAUGGCCUAUCUCAACAGACUCCAGGAUCUGGAAGAGGACACCUGAGAAUUAUUGUGAGCCCUAGAUCUCUAGUUCUGAUUCUAAACUAGCUUCCACAGCCAUCACCUUUGUGGAAAAGGGGCAUGCCACACUACCACCAAGGGUGAAUCCCCUUCCCUCCAGGAAAGUCCAAGACCCUAGAGAACAACACUAUUCCCUACACCAGUUUGGCAAUGUCAAAUGAUUCAAUAUAAAAAAUAGAUACGGCAGUGGAAAUAACAUUAGAUUAAAUGAAUUGCCAUCUGGGUUGCUUCUGCACACUAAGGACCACCAGACCUUUCCAUCUGACUUGCAGCUAAAACCACCAUCUGUGUUGUCCCCACU